rnacentral:snRNA from 1 species
UCGCUUCAGCAGCGCAUAUACUACACCUGGAAUGAUGCAGAGAUUAGCAUGGCCCCUGCUUAAGAACUACAUGCAAAUUCAUGAAGCAGUCCAUAUUUUU